CUGCAAAACAGAGGCUGAUGGAUCUGA
rnacentral:piRNA from 1 species